GACAGAAAUGCUGACAUAGAUUAUAUAUAUUUGAACGCUAAGUAGAAUUUGACGAAACAAAAAAAAAUCCACAAUCCCGAACAUACAACAAAAGGAACAAUUCAAAAUAACAAUGAAAAAGUGAAUAUAACUAGCAUUAUCUUCUACUACUACCUACCUUAAACCAAUAAACACACACACAAAGGAAAAAGAAAACAUUGUAGCACUACAACUACUAUUAGGGAAAUCUCUCUGAAAAGUGUCAACCAAAAACAAACCAUACAAACAAAGAACAAAUAAGGAUUGCGGCAAUGUGAUGAACGCAGCGCUUGAAGUGGACCAUUGCUUGAUGAAAGCCGCCAAUUCCCUUUAGCUAUCACUAUCACAAAUACACACACAUGCACUCUGUAAUAGUAGCUAUAAACCGUGAAUUGCGCAGCGUACUAGACUGAAAAGAAAAAAAAACUAACUGAAUGACGCAUGGUAGGAGUAGUACUAGUUGCUUGAAGUUUGACGCAGAUUUUUGUUUAGUUUGCCUAUUAUUUUUUCUAAAUUUUGUGAAACGGUGAUGUACUAGAAGAUGAAUGACAGGAAUGCUGUAAUAUAAUUGUGUACCAAAUAUGGAUUCCGAGAGUUGUACCAGAAUAUGGAUUGAUACGAGCUGCUUAUAUGACGAAGUGAAGUACUAGAUCGAUGCGAGUGGAAGUGGAAGCUCGUCUCAGUCGAUUUGUCUGUGUGCUCAUUCUGCGAAAGGAGUGACGUGACAAAAGUCAGAGUCGUACAACGAGGUGAGAAAUCUUGACUCGAAUCAGGGGACUUUCCAUUAGAUUUACAGGACGAAUCACUUCAUUCGUUUUGAGGUUUCGCACCUCGACUCUGACUUUUCUCACGUCGUUCUUUACAGAAUGAGCACAAACUACUCUUCAUGAGAUCGAAGUUGUGUUCAUUCUGCGAAAGGAGUGACGUGACAAAAGUCGGAGUCGUAUAUCGAGGCGAGAAAUCCCGACUCGAAUGAAGUUACUCACCGGGUAAAUCAAAUGGAGAGUCACUUCAUUCCAGUCGAGAUUUCUCAGUUCGAUAUGCGAGUCGAGCUCCGUCGCGUCACUCCAUCCGCAGAAUGAGCACAUCUGGUAUAUUAAAAUUGUGAGUUAUUCGAGCAGUAUGUAUUGCUAAUUGUACUCAUUCUGCGAAUGGAGUGACGUGACAAAAGUCAAAAUCGUAUUUCGAAUGGAAUCAAAUGGAGAAUCACUACAUUCGAAUCGAUGUUUGUCAUCUCGAUAAACGACUCCGAUUUUUGUCUCGCCACUCCAUUCGCAGAAUCAGCACAAAUUAUUCUUCAUGAGAUCGAAAUUGUGCUCAUUUCUGCAAACAGAGUGACGUGAAAAAAGUCGGAGUGACUCUCCAAUGGAAUUACAUGGCGAGUCACUUCAUUCGAGUCACCUCGAAAUACGAUUCUGACUUUUGUUGCGUCACUCUAUUCGCAAAAUGAGCACAAAUCAAAUGUUAGAAAACCGCUCAUUUUCUCUAAAUCAAUCUAGUACUAGUAUCUGUAGAUUAUGUUCUAGUACAUUAUCGAAAUAAAAAAUACUUCAAAAACGAAUCGCUAUUUCUUAACAAACAAACAAAAUAAAAAUAGUCAAUGAUUCCAAAUUUCCGAUUUCCUUUGCAUCUAGAAAAGUGUUAAAAAGAUUCAAAAAAUACAAACAUUGUUUUUGUUAUAUUUGGUGUGCCUUACGAAAAAAAAGCAGUAAUAGAUUACAAUUGUUUCCAUUCUCACAUACUUGUUCAACUCAUCACAACCAAAAAUAAAAUAAAGAAGAUUACAAAAAAAAUAUGAGAGAGUAAACACCGACUACAUAAAGCAAACAAAAAACAGGAACAACAAAGAGAACUUCUGUUUGUGAUCGAAAAAAAUAAUUAACCCAACAAAAAAAAACAACUAAAAGAAAAAAUGAUUGCCUUGCGAAAAAUAACACAACAAAGAAGAAAGAAGAGGACGACGACGCGAAAAGAAAUGCAAACACAAACAUACAAGAACAUAAAAAAGAGAAAAAUACCCACACAAACACACAUAUAUUUAAACAGAGUAAUCAAAAAAUAAGAAGAAAGUUGUACAUAAAGACAAACUAAAAAUAAACAAACAGAGAAGGUCAUGGGAAACAUAAAUCUAAAUUAAACAAAAAAAAUCAACUUUUAGUUCGAAAAGGUCACCCGAGAUGGCGUCGCGUUAGCAAUAUUUACAAUGAGUUCCUUCCCCCAUUCUCUUCCUGCUCUGGGGAGGAACUCAGGGACCAACACAAUUGGCGAACUAAAUGGUUAACACCGCCCCCGCUUUUGCUGCGAGAAUUUAGCGUUGAAAAAGUGAUUUAUUUGGAGCUGGCUCCGCUGUUUUUAUCCUAACAAAAAAAAAAUGCAAUUUUAACACAUUAAGAACCCCUAAACUGUUGACAUUCGCUUUUCAGUUUUUGAACGCGUCUCGGGUGCGACCUGCUCGGAUUGAAACGAAAUUCAAAACAUAAAAUUCCAUACCCAUGCGGAAAAAAAUGACAGAAGUGUACUUGAUGCGAUCGCGAUCACACACCGAUCGUAAAAUGGAGUUAAAACCCGGAUAGAUUCGGCUAUAUUUUGGAAAAACAAGUGUGGAUCCGGAAAUUUUAGGCUAGAGUUCCUAAAGCGCGGAAAGUUUUUAGUCGACGAUCUCGUUGUUUCGUCAGCAAAUGUCAAAAUAAGGUUGUGUUUAUUUUCCGAACUGAGCUAAACAAAACAAUAGUGAAAGAAAAAAACUGUCGUCAGUGACACUCGUUUUGCCACGUGCAUUUAGGCGCCGAGGCGGUUUUAUUGAGCGUCACUUUUUAGGUAAACGGAUUUUUUAGAACCGCAAUUGUUUCAGUGUUUUGUUUUUCUCGACAAGUCGACCGAAACACAGCAAAGAAAAAAAAAACUCAAACAAAGUAAAGAGAGUGAGAUUUUUAGGAAAUGCCCGACUCCCCGACAUCGGAAGUAGCGAAAUUACCAGUAGAUUUCCGGCGAAUCUAGGAGGAAAAAUCAAAUAUGAAACCAUCAAAAUCAACCAAAAAGAGAGAAUCAAAUUGGAACAGUGAAGAAAAGUGGAAAGAACUCAAAAUCAGAAGAAAAUCGGAAACGAAAGAGGAAAAAACGAGAAAUCACACACACACAUACGCAGACACAUGCAUAUUUAUAAAUAUAUGUUUGUUAAGAAUUUUUUCACUGUACAUAUGUUUAUAUCGAUUGAUUAUUAAUUAAUGAUUAAUUACCGACAGGAAACGAAACAAAAA